rnacentral:rRNA from 1 species
CCUGAUGACCAUAGCAAGUUGGUCCCACUCCUUCCCAUCCCGAACAGGACAGUGAAACGACUUCGCGCCGAUGAUAGUGCGGGUUCCCGUGUGAAAGUAGGUCAUCGUCAGGCUCUUACAGCCCAAACCGCCCUCCCACUA